rnacentral:rRNA from 1 species
GACAGAGGUGCCGAGCGUUAGGCGGAAUCACUGGGCUUAAAGCGUGUGUAGGCGGAUGGGUAAGUACCUUGUGAAAUCCCACGGCUCAACCGUGGAACUGCUCGGUAUACUGCUCGUCUUGAGCCAACUAGGGGCGACCGGAACAAACGGUGGAGCGGUGAAAUGCGUAGAGAUCGGGAAGAACAUCGGUGGCGAAGGCGGCCUGCUGGGCUGUUGCUGACGCUGAGGCGCGACAGCGUGGGGAGCAAACAGG